rnacentral:rRNA from 1 species
UUGUUGGAGAGUUUGAUCCUGGCUCAGGACGAACGCUGGCGGCGUGCUUAACACAUGCAAGUCGAACGCUGAAGCACUUUCGGGUGUGGAUGAGUGGCGAACGGGU